UCAGUCACAACAUUUAUUCUGUUAGAUUGGCAAUGUCAUGAAUACCGUAAAAAAUCAUAUGGACAAAAUGCACCUGUUGAGGUAGUGUACAGGUUAUUUAGAAAUUUGCAAUGGUGCAAUUAACAUUACAUAUGUAUGUACGUGCAUACAUACUCGUAUAUCUGAAUACGUAUCAAAUCUGAAAUUUACAAGGAUUCGGCCACUCGUACGCUUUCAAGGCUCAAUUAUUAUAGGAUUUCUAACAUUCGGAAAUAUAUCGAUUAAUCGAAGAACCCACACAUCUCGUCCGGCUGUGCGCCCCCAACGUUUGAGUUCUACCGAUAAAUUCUUCACUUGCGGAAUCUGGUCAAUAUUUGCGAAAAAGUUGGACCGCCGUGGAGACAAACUUCCAGAAAAGG